rnacentral:misc_RNA from 1 species
CUGAACCAGAAGAGGUGUGUUUCGCGCGCUUCAAAGACUUCUUUUCAAGCUCCAUUUGGGCAUCCAUGAACAUGUUCAUCCUUUCGAAUUCUAGUUCCUUAGUGAACUCCAUUCUCUGCUUCUCUAGCUCCACCAUUUGCUGCUGCUUAGAGCUCUCGAUUCUCUCAUAUAUCUCCCCAAACUGCAAUAUAGCGCUCGCUAACUCCCUACACGCAGCUCCAUCGGAGAAAUCAACAUCCUCCAUUCGAUGCUGCUUCUUUAUUGUUCUUUCAUCAAACUCUAUAUCAUCGUCGUCCUCGUCUUUUUCGUCGUCGAACGAUGCCUCCGUGGAAUUUGAGACUCCUGAAUAAAAGCUCAGGCGUAAUGCGCAGCUUCGAUUUCACGGUGAAGGUGACGGCGGAAGCCUUCUUUUUGGGGUUGACAGUAGAGAUAGCCCCGAUGAGGGAAUCCAGCCGAUAAUAGAACGGCCAUUUGGACGGACGAGGUUUAGCUUUCUCGAGCUUAUACUUCUUCUUUAACAUAUCGAUUUGGUUCUUGCACUGGACGUCCGUUUUCCGUGACUCGACGUCUUUUGGACGGCCGUUGACUCUGUCGGCCACUUCCUUCGAGUCCUUCUGACGGAGAUUUCCGCGGUUUAGAUUUAAUGUAACAUUCUCCCCAUGCCUCUAUCAGAGUUUCCGUUGCCUCACAGCCGACGCCUCCGCCGAAUGCGGGGGAGUGGGUGGAGAGAUGGAGGGACCGGAUGGGGUCCAUGGGAAAGGGGGGAAAAGGAGUGUGGGGUUGGGGG